UACAGAGGGGGCAAGCGUUGUUCGGAAUUACUGGGCGUAAAGGGCGCGUAGGCGGCCUUCUAAGUCGAACGUGAAAUCCCCGGGCUCAACCCGGGAACUGCGUCCGAUACUGGAUGGCUUGAAUCCGGGAGAGGGAUGCAGAAUUCCAGGUGUAGCGGUGAAAUGCGUAGAUAUCUGGAGGAAUACCGGUGGCGAAGGCGGCAUCCUGGACCGGCAUUGACGCUGAGGAGCGAAAGCUAGGGGAGCAAACGGG
rnacentral:rRNA from 1 species